rnacentral:pre_miRNA from 1 species
UUUAAACGCAGCGAUGAGUUUCCGUGUCCAAUUUUAAUUGUCUGUCCUAUUUGAUUUUUUUUACCAAAUUAAAAAGCAUAAGUCACGCUCUCACGUAUAAAGUACUAUUCAUGUUUUAUCACCUAAUAACAAUAAAAAUGCUAAUCAUACAAAAUUUUAAAUAAGAGGGAUGAUUAAUAAAAAUGCUAAUCAUACAAAAUUUCAAAUAAGAGGGAUGAUUAAAGUUGGACACAAACAACUUACAGCUACGUUUAAA